UUUAGAAUGGGAUUGAGAGUGGUUUAGAAUGGAAUUGUGAAUGGAGUUGAGAGUGUUUUAGAAUGUGGAUGAGAGUGGUUUAGAUUGUGGUUGAGAGUGGUAUAGAAUGUGGUUGAGAGCGGUUUAGAAUGUGGUUGAGAAUGGAGUUGAGAAUGUAGUUGA